rnacentral:tRNA from 1 species
UCGGGGAUGGGCUAACGGUACGCUGCCUGGCUUUGAACCAGGAGACGGAGGUUCGAUUCCUUCUCCCCGAG